CCUUUAUUCACAUUACCGAUCGGGUCUCAGAUGAACUCCUGUUCCAACAUUCUGAGAGACCAACACAUAGUGUACAUUCCUUAUAUAGCACUAUAACUCCUCCCAUUAAUAGCUACACCCACAUAUACCUUUAACCAAUCAAUGAGCAGAAUAUAGACUUGUACAUCUAGUCAAACCACAUGGCUCAUCCAAGACAAAGGAAAUAAGUGCAAUUUCAGUUCCUGCAUUCCUGCACAUGCUCAGUACACUGAUGACAGUAUCCUAGCUACAUGUAGCUAACCAACUGACAC